rnacentral:rRNA from 1 species
GACGAACGCUGGCGGCGUGCUUAACACAUGCAAGUCGAACGGAAAGGCCCUGCUUUUGUGGGGUGCUCGAGUGGCGAACGGGUGAGUAACACGUGAGUAACCUGCCCUUGACUUUGGGAUAACUUCAGGAAACUGGGGCUACUACCGGAUAGGAGCUCCUGCUGCAUGGUGGGGGUUGGAAAGUUUCGGCGGUUGGGGAUGGACUCGCGGCUUAUCAGCUUGUUGGUGGGGUAGUGGCUUACGAAGGCUUUGACGGGUAGCCGGCCUGAGAGGGUGACCGGCAACAUUAGGACUGAGCUACGGCCCAGACUCCUACGGUAGGCAGCAGUGGGGAAUAUUGCACAAUGGGCGGAAGCCUGAUGCAGCAACGCCGCGUGCGGGAUGACGUACUUCGGGUUGUAAACAGCUGUCGCCUGUGACGAAGCGUGAGUGACGGUAAUGGGUAAAGAAGCACCGGCUAACUACGUG